UACGGAGGGCGCGAGCGUUAAUCGGAGUUACUGGGCGUAAAGCGCGCGUAGGCUGUUGUGUAAGUUGGGGGUGAAAUCCCACGGCUCAACCGUGGAACAGCCCUUGAUACUGCGCGACUUGAAUCCGGGAGAGGGUGGCGGAAUUCCAGGUGUAGGAGUGAAAUCCGUAGAUAUCUGGAGGAACAUCAGUGGCGAAGGCGGCCACCUGGACCGGUAUUGACGCUGAGGCGCGAAAGCGUGGGGAGCAAACAGG
rnacentral:rRNA from 1 species